UACAGAGGGUGCAAGCGUUACUCGGAAUUACUGGGCGUAAAGCGUGCGUAGGUGGUGGUUUAAGUCUGUCGUGAAAGCCCUGGGCUCAACCUGGGAAUUGCGAUGGAUACUGGAUCACUAGAGUGUGGUAGAGGGAUGCGGAAUUUCCGGUGUAGCAGUGAAAUGCGUAGAGAUCGGAAGGAACAUCUGUGGCGAAGGCGGCAUCCUGGGCCAACACUGACACUGAGGCACGAAAGCGUGGGGAGCAAAC
rnacentral:rRNA from 1 species